rnacentral:rRNA from 1 species
AGAGUUUGAUCCUGGCUCAGAGUGAACGCUGGCGGCGUGGAUUAGGCAUGCAAGUCGAGCGAUUCCCUUCGGGGAACAGCGGCAAACGGGUGAGUAAUGCGUGAGUAACUUUCCUUCAAGACAGGCAUAGCGACGUGAAAACGUCGGUAAUUCCUGAUGUUCCGAGACAAUCGCAUGGUUGACUCGGCAAAGAUGGGGAUCUUCGGACCUAUCGCUUGGAGAUGGACUCGCGUCCUAUCAGCUUGUUGGUGGGGUAAUGGCCUACCAAGGCUUUUGACGGGUAGCCGGCCUGAGAGGGUGACCGGCCACACUGGGACUGAGACACUGCCCAGACUCCUACGGGAGGCUGCAGUCGAGAAUCUUUCACAAUGGGCGAAAGCCUGAUGGAGCGACGCCGCGUGCAGGAUGAAGGUUUUCGGAUCGUAAACUGCUUUUGUUAGGAAAGAAACGUUAAGAAUUAAUAGUUCUUAAUCUGACGGUACCUAACGAAUAAGCCACGGCCAACUACGUGCCAGCAGCCGCGGUAACACGUAGGUGGCAAGCGUUACUCGGAAUUAUUGGGUGUAAAGGGCAUUAGGCGGUUUAAUAAGUGAGGGGUGUAAUCUUCCGGCUCAAUCGGAAAACUGCCUUUCAAACUAUUAAACUUGAGGUUGGAAGAGGGAAGCGGAAUUAGCAGUGUAAGGGUGAAAUCUGUAGAUAUUGCUAAGAACACCUGCGGCGAAGGCGGCUUCCUGGUCCAAACCUGACGCUAAAUUGCGAAAGCUAGGGGAGCAAACAGAAUUAGAUACUCUGGUAGUCCUAGCUGUAAACGAUGAGUACUAGGUGUUGGCCUUUUGGUCAGUGCCACAGCUAACGCGUUAAGUACUCCACCUGGGGACUACGGCCGCAAGGCUAAAACUCAAAGGAAUUGACGGGGACCCGCACAAGCGGUGGAACAUGUGGUUUAAUUCGAUGCUACGCGAAGAACCUCACCUGGACUUGACAUGCUCGUCAUAACCCUAUGAAAGUAGGGAGUCAGCUCGGCUGGACGAUGCACAGGUGCUGCAUGGCUGUCGUCAGCUCGUGUCGUGAGAUGUUGGGUUAAGUCCCGCAACGAGCGCAACCAUUGCCCUAUGUUGCUACCUGAGUAGCUUGUUUACAAGUUGCUUAGCGCACUCUUAGGGGACUGCCCGGGAUAACCGGGAGGAAGACGGAGAUGACGUCAAGUCAGUACGGCCCUUAUGUCCAGGGCUACACACGUGUUACAAUGGAUGGUAUAAAGGGUUGCCAACCCGCGAGGGGGAGCUAAUCUCAAAAAACCAUCCUCAGUUCGGAUUGGAGUCUGCAAUUCGACUCCAUGAAGCUGGAAUCGCUAGUAAUGGAAGAUCAGCGCGCUUCCGUGAAUACGUUCCCGGGUCUUGUACACACCGCCCGUCAAGCGAUGAAAGCCGGGGGUACCCGAAGUCCUGUGUAGGCAGGCCGAAGGUAAAACUGGUGAUUGGCGCUAAGUCGUAACAAGGUA